UAAAAAAAAAAAAAACGUGAACCUGAGCCCAAUGAAGCCCGUAGAUCUCGUGGCCACUCGAGAGGAAGUACGCGGGACCGAGGAGCGCCACACGGUGCCACGAGCAAGAAAUGGACCGCUCCCACCACGGGGCCGUGCAGCUUCAACGGCCUGGUGUCUCCAACAAUGGUGGAAACGUUACCGAGAGAGAGGAGGAAACUAUGAUGAAUUAUGACACUUAGAGACCUGUCAGCCAAGUGUCAUCUUUGGACUUUGGAUCCUGAUUUAGACAAAUCCACUUUAAAAAAAAACACAUUUUUGAGACCCAAAUCAGGGAAAAUUGGGCGCAGAAUGGGUACUAGGUGAUUUUAAUGAAUGGGGAGUGUUAUUAGACAUAAUAAUGGUAUUGUGUCACUUCUUUAAAUCCUGUUAGAGGUACGAAUAAGCACUGAGCCUCUUUCUUUCAGGGGAGCAGAGGACUGGAUGGUUAUCAAGGCCCCGACGGGCCCCCAGGACCCAAGGGAGAAGCGGGUGACCGCGGCCCCCCAGGUGCACCUGCUUACUUCCCUUACCCCUCCCUAAUUAAAGGUUCGUAUGUCUGCAUCACA